AUUGAACGCUGGCGGCAGGCCUAACACAUGCAAGUCGAGCGAGCGGCGGACGGGUGAGUAAUGCCUGGGAAUUGCACAGGCGAGGGGGAUAACAGUUGGAAACGACUGCUAAUACCGCAUAAGAUGGGAUUGCCCAGGUGGGAUUAGCUAGUUGGUGAGGUAAUGGCUCCCCAAGGCGACGGUCCCUAGCGGGUCUGAGAGGAUGAUCAGCCACACUGGAACUGAGACCCGGUCCCGACUCCUACGGGAGGCAGCAGUGGGGAAUAUUGCACAAUGUGGGAAACCCUGCUGCAGCCCUGCCGCGUGUGUGAAGAAGGCCUUCGGGUUGUAAAGCACUUUCAGCGAGGCGGCGUUACUCGCAGAAGAAGCACCGGCUAACUCCGUGCCAGCAGCCGCGGUAAUAC
rnacentral:rRNA from 1 species